GCUAAAAGUCCAUCUAGUCCAAAUUCCCUGCAAUAAACAGAAACAUCUACAGCUAGAUGAGGUUGCCACAGAGCCUGCUCCAGCCUGACCUUGAAUGUUGAUAACGCAGUAAUGUUUUAGUUUUUGCAGAGCUGUGCUGCCCAGUGCUAUGGACGUUUCAGCUCUUAACAGUGCCCUGCCAGUAAAGAGACUGGGGAUGCACAAGGAGAUGGGAGAGGACAGACCCAGGAGAGCUGACCCAGGCUGGCUGAAGAGAUUUUCCUUACUAUGUGGCAUCAUAUGAAGUUAUAAAACUAGGGGAGUUGGCCAGAAGGGAGAAGAGCAAACAGCCCUUCGUGUUUUUCCUGGCAAUGUAGCAUAUACCGAAGACCUUAUGCUUAACCCUGACACUGCAUCAACAAAUGC
rnacentral:lncRNA from 1 species